rfam:Astyanax mexicanus chromosome 16, whole genome shotgun sequence.
UGUUUUCACUAUUGUAAGUUGCUUUGGACAAAAGCAUCUGCCAAAUGUAAUGUA